GGGGGGCCCGUUACCGGCAUACUGGGGCGUAAGCGCACGCAGGUGGUUUGUUAAGUCAGAUGUGAAAGCCCGGGGCUCAACCUCGGAAGGUCAUUGGAAACUGGCAGACUUGAGUGCUGAAGAGGGGGGUAGAAUUUCAUGUGUAGCGGUGAAAUGCGUAGAGAUCUGAAGGAACACCGGUGGCGAAGGCGACCUUCUGGACUGAUACUGACACUCAGGUGCGAAAGCGUGGGGAGCAAACAGGAUUAGAUACCCUGGUAGUCCACGCCGUAACGAUGACUGCUAGGAGGUGAGGGCUUCCGCCCUUUUUGCUGAGCUUACGCAUUAGCACUCCGCCGGGGGAGUACGGCCGCAGAGUUGAAACUCAAUGGAUUUGAGGGGGCCCCCCACAAGCGGGGAACCAUGGGUUUUAUUUCAUGCAACGCAAAAACCCUUCCUACUCUUGACAUCCUCUAACUUCCCUAAAAUGGAUGGUUCCCUUCGGGAACUCAGAGACAGGUGGUGCAUGGCUGUCGUCAGCUCGUGUUGUGAGAUGUUGGGUAAGUCCCCAACGAGCGCACCCUUGCUUUGUUUGCCAUCAUUAAUGUGGGGCUCUCAGGGACUGCCCGGACAUACCCGAGGAAGUGUGGAAACAUCCAAUCUCUUGGCCCUUUGAGAUGGGCUUACACGUGCUUAAUGGGCGUACCAGAGGUGGAAACUCGAGAGGAGCUAACUCCAAAACGGUCUCAAUCCGAUUUGGACUGCACCUCCUUCUGAACUCGAUCUCUAUUAUCCGGAAUAAUUCCGGGGAAACCUUCCCGGCCUUGACACCCCCCUUCACCCGUGAGUUGUAUGCCAAAUCGUGGGUAACCUUUGGGCAGCUCCACGUGGAUCAGAUGGGGAUAAAAAACCCCCAAAAAAAAAAACCUUGGGGGGGGUCAGGCCGGAAAGCGGGGUGGGGGGGGGGC
rnacentral:rRNA from 1 species